rnacentral:misc_RNA from 1 species
GAUGAAGAACGCAGCGAAAUGCGAUACGUAAUGUGAAUUGCAAAUUCAGUGAAUCAUCGAGUCUUUGAACGCACAUUGCGCCCCCUGGUAUUCCGGGGGGCAUGCCUGUCCGAGCGUCAUUGCUGCCCUCAAGCACGGCUUGUGUGUUGGGCCCCGUCCUCCGAUCCCGGGGGACGGGCCCGAAAGGCAGCGGCGGCACCGCGUCCGGUCCUCGAGCGUAUGGGGCUUUGUCACCCGCUCUGUAGGCCCGGCCGGCGCUUGCCGAUCAACCCAAAUUUUUAUCCAGGUUGACCUCGGAUCAGGUAGGGAUACCCGCUGAACUUAAGCAUAUCAAUAAGCCGAGGA